AAUAAACAUGCUAACAUCCAAUUGCCUUCCACUGAUUUACACUCCUGAACUUGAAAUUAUGGAGACAAGUGACACCGCCUCAUAUUUAGAUCUAUGCACAAAGAUUCAGAGUGACAAAAAAACU